rnacentral:rRNA from 1 species
AACGAACGCUGGCGGCGUGUUUAAGACAUGCAAGUCGCACGGUGUCAUUUUGGUAGCAAUACUUGAAUGGCAUAGUGGCGCACGGGUGAGUAACACGUGAAUUACAUGCCCUGUAGAGGGGGAUAGCCCAGGGAAACUAGGAUUAAUACCCCAUGGUCUCGCAAGAGUAAAGGUGGCCGCAAGGCUGUCGCUACAGGAUUGGUUCGCGCCCUAUCAGCUUGUUGGCGGGGUAACGGCCCACCAAGGCUACGACGGUUACCUGGUCUGAGAGGACGAUCAGGCACACUGGAACUGAGACACGGUCCAGACACCUACGGGUGGCAGCAGUCGAGAAUAAUUCACAAUGGGGGCAACCCUGAUGGUGCAACGCCGCGUGGAGGAUGACGGUCUUCGGAUUGUAAACUCCUGUCAUCCGGGAGUAAGACCUGGCUGUGAAUAGCAGACAGGGUUGAUAGUACCGGAAGAGGAAGGGACGGCUAACUUCGUGCCAGCCGCCGCAGUAAAAC